rnacentral:misc_RNA from 1 species
UUCUUUUUUUUUUUUUUUUUGGUCCCCCUUCUGUGGAGGCUGGAGAGCAGUCACAUUCUCAUUGUCGAAGAAGCUGAAGUUGGAAAGCUCCAGCUCCUGAUGGCGGUUGCGGAUCAGGGAAUAUUUAACGGUUGGAAGCAUGAGGGACGCGUGUGCACUUUUCCAACCUCGUCGUCCGCCAAUUCUUUGGAUAAGGUAAAUAGGGCUAACAGUGGACAUUGAGACAGGACUUAAUCCACUUUCCUGGCAACUCGAAAUCUUCGCGUCCAGGCCCACCAUUAUCCAACAUAGAACUAUUACAGUGUUACCUUUUUUUUACUUUUAAUUUUCUAAAGGGAAAGGUUUGUUUUUAAUUUCAAAUUCCUCCGCAUAGAACUUUAUGAAAAAGAGAGGAAAAAAAAGAAAGAAAGAAAGAUUAUUACCAAUAGAAGUAGGCCGCCAUGAAGGACAGUGUUGAUAUAUUGCUUGUUUUCAGAACUGCUUUGUUUUAGGCCUUGGAGGUUGGAAUCAAUACAUACUAUUUCCAUCAACAUUCAACUAGUAGUCCCAGGAGCCAAGGACUAUUAACAAUUGAUUUAGAUGAAAGCAUAGGAAGCAACGACCCCAGAGGCCAAGACCGUUUAUGCAUGGAGCACAGUAGGACAUUUCAGAGAUGGACUACACUCUCAACCACGUUAUAUGCUAGCUAUGUGGCCAACUAGAAAAGAUGCAAGGCAUGUAGGUGCACCCUCCCAUGGAUAUAUUGGCUCAGGGGAAUAACCAUUUACUGCUAUAAUUUCAUUUACACAUUUGACAACCAUAUAAUACAGAGAUUUCGUGAAAACUACUAACAGAGAUUUGGUACUAGUAUUAUUAUAUUAGUAACAAUACCUAUUUUAGUCCAUGAUUUGUUGCUCAAGGUUCCGUGUUCAAGGGCAUGUACUUCCACCCUCAGAAAUUUCAUCUUCACUGCUCUUGUACCCUCCCCAAACGUUGAUUAGAGCUCAAAUCAGCUCCUGCUGUUAUAGUCUUGCCACUGUCUAUUGAGUUAGUCUUAGCUAGAGCCUUUCUACGCUUGUAUGUCAAAGGCAGAACGGAUUCAUCUUUAAACCCCUCAGAAAUACUGGAUUUACUUAAUAACUUGUCUGAUUUUUUUGCACCGAAGUCAGUCUCACUUCUCAUUGGAUUUGAAGAAGAUGCCAUUAACACUUCCUGCUUAACAUUACAAAUGGCUGAAGUUCUGGGAACUGCUUCUAGAAUUCUUGGAUAUACAGUGAUAUGCUCGUCUUUCAUGAGUGCUAUUCGCUGUUGCCUGCGGUGAUAUUGAAUACCAAAUGGGUAUGAUUCCAAGGAUCUCAGGGAAAAGUCUUCAGUUCCUUUGUGCAAAUUUGGCCCCAAACUUUCAACACCAAAGGGAUGCUUCCUUGCACCCAUUGGAUACAUUGGUGGAAAUUCCUCAUUAGGGUCUCUUCUGAUAUCACCUGCCAACAAAGUGUGUUUUCCUAAAACCGAAAUGUCAUCUGAAGAAGGAAUUAUUUGCCUCUCUAUUUUUCUGGUAGGCUCUGAGUGAUGACAGGUUCUCAUAGUACAAUCUUGCUGAUUCAGUAAACAAUGAGGUUGGUUUAGAGUUGAAUGAAGCCUUCCACCAUCAACCUUCUGCCUUAAAAAUGGUGAUUCAUGAAGGCCACCUGCAUCUGGUAAGUGUACAUAUGCUGGCAGGGAAGAAAACUUAAAAUCCAGUAAACCUUGGUCCCUGACAAGAAAUGUUGAUUGUGCUCCCCUUUGCACCACUUCUGAUUGUUCCAGCUGGACAGAAGUAACUUUAGGUACUAUUUUCAACAAUCCCUUGGGUACAGAUCGACACUGCUCUGAUACAUCACUGCCAAUUAUUUUUGGAUUGUGAUUUGGUAAUAAGCCAUUCCCAGAUACCUUUAUCUUUAAAAAACCUUUUGCUCUGCAGUUUGAAGCAAAUUUCAUUUCACUGGCAGAGAGAGAAGGCAAAACAUCUUUUUCUGUGGUUUGUUCCACUGGCUUCAGUCCCUUCAUGUGCAAGCUAACCUCCUCACUUAACAGUUGAUCAUCCUUGGGAAAUUUGUUAAGAUCAAGCAAAUUUAUGGCCCUCUGUUUUCUCUUAUUUUUCCACAUCAAAAUCCUUUCCUCAACACCAGGGCUCAUUUCAUACUGAUCCCACAUCCUUCUCAUGUCUGUGAACAUUUGUGUCAUCCUGUCAUGGUAAGAUCUUAAUGAAUGAUAAUACUUUUUCCUCUGUAUAAACUGCAAACAUUCUCUGAGAUGAGCCACUUUCGGAGGAUAGAAUCCACCUCUCAAUCUUUUGAAGAACACAUCCAAUGGAUUCCCAAAAUAUAGAUCACUGCCAUCAAAAAGCUCCUUCAUAGUCAAACAAAAAGUCUGCUGGUCCAUAUCUGGAAGGUAAGCUGAGAGAUAGAACCUUUCUUCCUCUGUUAAAGAAGAAUUCCAAGUGUCUAAAGAUAAUAUUUCCCUCAAAUCUGGCAGAUCAAAGAGUUCAUAGGGUAUGCUGCACAGCUGACCUUCUACCAAGCCAAGCUCACAGCACAACUCAGUGAGCUCAAAAUCAUCAGAAUCAUCACCUGAGUCUGCCCCAAAGACAGGGUUAUCUUCUGCUUUGGAUAAGGAAAAAGUUUUACUAUGUUUGGAACUCUGAUGGCCAAUCUUUUGAAUUCUCAUUGAUGCAGAAGGUCUUCUGAGCUCAAGGAUCUAUUAUAAGGAGAAGUGAGAUCUCCAAUGUGAAAACUUUAAAGCCACAAUUAAGAUCCCUGAAGAGGACAUGAACAUUUUAACCAUCAAAUCAGUUUUAUACAAUAAAUUCUUUAAUAUGUUAAACCAUUGGAUAUGUGUUGGAGAAUAAUCCUAAAAUUCCAUAGGAAAAUAUGUACACCAUCUUGUGAAUCAUGAGAACAUCCAUAGUUCAUGAACUACCCGAGGCUUCAAAUAGAUCACAAUAAAGAUACAACAGCAAUUGACUGCCUUCAAUUUCCCCAACUACCUUGGGUGAAAUCGGUGAGAAUGGAAACCCCAACAACGUACGAGCACCAUUUGAUUUUAGUUUAGCUUUACUUCUCAAGCCCACCUUAUUUCUGCCUUCCUUUUAUUUACCUUUUUCCCCUCUUCUUUUUUGUCUGUAUUUUCGCUUGUUAACCUUUCCACUGUGUGUCCAGUGAGCGUCAGGCAAUACCAUAGUCUGAAACAGCGAU